rnacentral:rRNA from 1 species
AGAAUCAACGCUGGCGGCGUGCCUAACACAUGCAAGUCGAACGAGAAAGUGGAGCAAUCCAUGAGUAAAGUGGCGCACGGGUGAGUAACACGUGACUAACCUACCCUUGAGUGGGGAAUAACUUCGGGAAACCGAGGCUAAUACCGCAUAACACCUACGGGUCAAAGGAGCAAUUCGCUUAAGGAGGGGGUCGCGGCAGAUUAGUUAGUUGGCGGGGUAAUGGCCCACCAAGACAGUGAUCUGUA